GGUAACAUUGUAGCUUGCUACAGAUGACGACCGGCGCACGGGUGAGUAACGCGUAUGCAACCUGCCUUUGACAGGGGGAUAGCCCGGAGAAAUCCGGAUUAAUAUCCCAUGGUAUUUACGAAUCGCAUGGUUUGUAAAUUAAAGAUUUAUCGGUCAAAGAUGGGCAUGCGUGACAUUAGCUAGUUGGUAAGGUAACGGCUUACCAAGGCUGCGAUGUCUAGGGGUUCUGAGAGGAUGAUCCCCCACACUGGUACUGAGACACGGACCAGACUCCUACGGGAGGCAGCAGUGAGGAAUAUUGGUCAAUGGGCGCAAGCCUGAACCAGCCAUCCCGCGUGAAGGAAGACUGCCCUAUGGGUUGUAAACUUCUUUUCUGCACCAAGAAUGGUUACUACGUGUAGUGAUUUGACGGUAGUGCAGGAAUAAGCAUCGGCUAACUCCGUGCCAGCAGCCGCGGUAAUACGGAGGAUGCAAGCGUUAUCCGGAUUCAUUGGGUUUAAAGGGUACGUAGGUGGCCAAUUAAGUCAGUGGUGAAAUCCUGCCGCUUAACGGUAGAACUGCCAUUGAAACUGGUUGGCUUGAGUACAGUUGAGGUAGGCGGAAUGUGUAGUGUAGCGGUGAAAUGCUUAGAUAUUACACAGAACCCCGAUUGCGAAGGCAGCUUACUAAACUGUAACUGACACUGAGGUACGAAAGCGUGGGGAGCGAACAGGAUUAGAUACCCUGGUAGUCCACGCUGUAAACGAUGCUCACUCGCUGUAUGCGAUACAUUGUAUGCGGCCAAGCGAAAGUCUUAAGUGAGCCACCUGGGGAGUACGUUGGCAACAGUGAAACUCAAAGGAAUUGACGGGGGCCCGCACAAGCGGAGGAACAUGUGGUUUAA
rnacentral:rRNA from 1 species